AGCCUGGACAAGAAGAGCGAAACUCCGUCUCAAAAAAAAAAAAAGAAAAGAAAAAUCAGGAAAGAAUGCAUAGAGACACAAGGAAGAAAGUCAUGUUAAGAUGGAUGCAGAGAUUGGAGGGAUGCAGCCACCAGUGCAGAAAUGCCCGCGGCCACCAGUAGCUGGAAGGAAAUGAAGGAUUCUCUCCUAGGACCUUUAGAGAGAAUGCGGCCCUGUCAACACCAUGAUUUUGGACUUGCUUGUAGCUUGUAUACUCUUACUUUGGAUACAAUUUUAUCCAAACUUGGCUAAACAGUUUCUCAGGCUACAGAAAAUUUAAAAUGGAGAAGGUUCAAUUUGAUUCUUAGAGAUACAAAGCAAGAAAAUGAUGGGAACAUUGGAGGAGGCCAAGAAAACCUAUAAAAAGCAAAAAUAUGAAGUCAACAUUGUGGUAGCUGUCAGAUGUUUGGUGUAGCUGCAGGCACCCUGCACAGCUUUUACAGUUUCAAGAGUUUGUGUCACCAUUAGAAGAAUUCAACUGUACCUCCAGGUGACAGCAGUUGCUCUGGUUGGGUGGGUGAUCUCAGGAGGCUUUAGAAUGAUUUGUCUGUGAGGGAAGUAAAACACUUUCAGAGCUUGACUUUAGAAGGUGUGAACUGGCUAGAUAAUGAACCUCAGGGCUAACGCUGCUAUAGCAGUCGGAAGGAGGUGAUGGGUUUUCAGUUUGGACCUCAAACAUCAAUACCCUUCUAGUAGUGGGAGGAACAGAGCCCCUCCUUUACCUGUCCAAUAGAAAGAAUGAGAUGGUGAGACAAUGGGACAGGCAAAGUGAAUUCAUAUGUAAGACAGAAUUCAGAUGAGAGAGCCAGGGCAUCACUCAGCCAUUCCUGACAUAUGUAACAGGCAACGAGAAAGUGGCAGAAAGGAAAUGAAGUGUCCAUAAAGAUAUUUUUAAAGUGAGCUUGAAGUAUUUGGAGACAAUUCAGUGUUACAAAAAAUCUGCAGAUCUCUGGAUAAGGAAGCAGAGGUUUCAGCAUGGGACCAAUGGAGCCUCAAAGGUGGGAAGAAGACAGACAAGACCAGGGCAGAACACAGCUCUUCGUUUCUCUUGGCUUUCCUGGAUAAGGACUGCAUCAGUCCUGUGGAAGGACAGGCCAUCAGCUCUGGAACACUGUAUGUACUUUCCAGUAUGUACUGCUACCUGUGUGAUGUUGGGAAAAUACCUGACCCUGUCUAACCCCCACUUCCCUCAACUGUGAAAUGGAAACAAUGAUAGUACCUACCUAUCUGAUAGGUGGCAACUAUAAGGUGCAGUGUACUGAAGGAAUUAAGGAAGCUUCAAUGAACGUCAGCUUCAUGAACACAGUGUUCAUAAAGGCAGCUCAGUGCAGUGGUUUGGGAGCCAGGAACAGCACGUGGGCUCGCGUGUGCCUGUGGAUGAGGUCAGAGAUGUUGCUAAUAAUGGAGAAUAAAUGAUGCAGUUUUCAUUACCGACCUUGGAAUCAUUCAUUCAUUCACAGAAUGUGUUUUGUCAACUUACUAAAACACUAAAUUAAAUAAUCUCUGGCUUUGUUUAUUUAUUUAUUUUUUGUUUGUUUAUUAUAGAUACUAAGACUUAGUGGACCCAAAGUUACUGACAUCCAGAGUAGACGACAAACAUCAGGUGUGCAGUGCUUCUGUGCCAAGUGUCCUUCACCAGAUGUGCAUGGAUCAUAUUUGGGAGGAAUGAGGAGUUCCUGGAAAUACAUGGAAUUCAGUGUAGCUGCACAUGUGCACUUUCAUGACCAGCCAAUCAAUAGCUUUCACUAUGUUUUCCAGGGUCUGUGAUCCUAAUAGGGAUAAACAACACAGCCUUUUAGAGUACUCUCUUGAAAUUUUAUUAUUGCUAUAAUACAUAAAUAAUGCAAUGUUGAAGU